rnacentral:tRNA from 1 species
GGGGAUUUAGCUCAGUGGUUCCAGUGCCUGCCUUGUAAGCAGAAGGGCCCAAGUUCAAUCCCCG